GCCCAAGAGAUCGGGAUAACACCUGGAAACAGAUGCUAAUACCGGAUAACAACAGAUGAUGCCUAUCAACUGUUUAAAAGAUGGUUCUGCUAUCACUCUUGGAUGGACCUGCGGUGCAUUAGCUAGUUGGUAGGGUAACGGCCUACCAAGGCGAUGAUGCAUAGCCUAGUUGAGAGACUGAUCGGCCACAUUGGGACUGAGACACGGCCCAAACUCCUACGGGAGGCAGCAGCG
rnacentral:rRNA from 1 species